AAGUCGUAACAAGGUUACCGUAGGUGAACCUGCGGUAGGAUCAUUAACAAAUCAUGUGGGGCCCCUCGGGGCUCUAUUAGUUCCGGCGGCGAUGCGCUGUGGCGUUCGCUGCUGUGUUCAACCCGUGCUCUGCACAAGUAUGUAAGUGUGACCGAAAAAGUAUGGUGGGAACAACAAAACAACUUUCAACAAUGGAUCUCUGGGCUCUU
rnacentral:misc_RNA from 1 species